ACGAAAUCAAUUAUAAAAACAAACACGUGUAAAUGUGUAAAAGUUUGUAAUCGUAACAUGAAAACCGAUUUAAGAUUAUUUCUUAUACGAAGAAACACCGAAUACCCAUCAUGGCAUAUAUAUUUCCAUACUAAUUUGAGCCGCUAUGGGACCCGUUUCGUAGUCGAGGUCGGACUCACUUCGGAACCGAUUCGGACCGAGGUCGGACUCGUUUGCUUGAAGGGAAAAGUUAAACUCGAUCUACCGUACUGUCAACUCGAUCCUACAUGUAUACGUAUACCUAUGAAUCUUUUAUUUUCUUAUCGCUGUCAAUCUGUCAUUCUCAUUCAUUUAAAUUUCGUGCGAUGAUCGCGACUGUCACCGAGGGAACCUCCUUCAGGGAUUUCACCAAGGAAAAAGAAUGGUCAUGAUUGCAUCGGAUGGACCAGUUCCCCAGGCGUCCGUAACACUACUUGGCA